CGCGGUUAUACAAAUAAUGUAAUUCAAUUUGAUUAGCAUUAAUUAAUUUAUAAUAGAAUAAUUGUAAUAAAAAUUUUAUUAGGUGAAAUUUGAAAUUUUUAUUUAGGUUAUUAAUUUUUAAUGAAGUUAAAAAAUUUAUUUUAUAAACUAGGAUUAGAUACCCUAUUAUUUUAAAUGUAAUUUUAAAAGCUAAAUUAGUAUUAGUUAUGUUCUUGAAAAUUAAAGAUUUUGGCGGUAUUUUAGUCUAUUCAGAGGAACCUGUUCUGUAAUCGAUAAUCCACGAUUUAAUUUACUUUUUUUUAUUAAUUUACAUAUCGUCGUAAUUUGAAUAUUUUAUAAGAAUUUUAAUAUUCAAGAAUUUUUAUAAAAAAAUAAAUCAGAUCAAGGUGUAGUUUAUGGGAAAGAAGAAAUGGGUUACAAUAAAUAUAAUUUAAGAUUAUUAUUUUUAAAAUAAUAUGAAUUUGGAUUUGAGAGUAAUUUUAAUUAAUUUAUUAAUUUGAUUUUAGCUCUAAAAUAUGC
rnacentral:rRNA from 1 species